CAGGAGACGGUGAGUGAUGUGAGGAGAAAGGACAAGGGAUGAGGAGGUGCGAAGGACGAAAUAAGAGAAGAAAGCGAGGAAAUGAGAGAGAUAAUAAGGCUCCGAUACCAUCAGAUUUAGCCAUCGGAGAGGAUUAUGAUCGUGUUUCUUCUCCAUUUCACUCUCAAUGUCUACAGAUGAAUCUGUGGAUCAAGCUUCGAUUUUUGAUUUCCUACCUUUCUAAUGUUUGAUCGUUGUGACUUGUGAUGACUAGGAG
rnacentral:misc_RNA from 1 species